rnacentral:lncRNA from 1 species
ACGGGUAAAGAAAAUAAUUAAUUGUUUAAAUAUGCAUAAAUGUAAUCCGCAAUUAAAACAAUAACCAUAAAAAAAUUUAUAUAUGUAAUGAAAACAUUGAAAUCAUGCAUCGAAUAUUUAUACAUACAAAUAACCAUACUCUAUAACCCCAUAAUCAAACAAAGUUAUAUAGUGUCUUGAUAUAACCGGUUAGAUUAAAUAAAAUUGUAAAAGUAAUUUCCUUGAACAUCAUUUUGUUGGAUUAUCAAAGACA